UACGGAGGGUGCGAGCGUUAUCCGGAAUUACUGGGUUUAAAGGGUGCGUAGGCGGCUAUGUAAGUCAGGAGUGAAAGUUUGCGGCUCAACCGUAAAAUUGCUUUUGAUACUGCAUGGCUGGAAUUAGGAUGAGGUGAGCGGAAUAUGUCAUGUAGCGGUGAAAUGCUUAGAUAUGACAUAGAACACCAAUUGCGAAGGCAGCUCACUACACAAAUAUUGACGCUGAGGCACGAAAGCGUGGGGAUCAAACAGG
rnacentral:rRNA from 1 species